rnacentral:lncRNA from 1 species
UUAGUGCCACAGGAUUUUUUUUCUUGCGCUUGUAUCAUCUUGGUAUUUGUUUUGUCUGUUCUGAUUGACUUUCCUCUCUGCUACUGAGUCCUUUUGGAUAUAUUGCUAUUUCCUUUGUUGACUCAGCGGGGCUCAGUCUGGCUGUGGAGUGUCUUAAGAGGCAGAGGUGUGGUGUGGUGGACGUGCUGGACGUGGUUUCCUCUCUUUGAGCUCAUUGUGUAGAGAGAAACUGACCAUAAGACUUGUACUGAGAUACCCUUCUCCCUGGUCUUUGGGGAUUCUCUCAGCCUCAGACGCAGGGAAGACACAGCUCACCAUUCAGUUCCUUCUUGUCUUUUAGGGACCAAAAAAGGCCACACAUUCAUGUAUAGCUGAAAUCAACCUUUACUCAGGAUCCACAGAUCUCAGAGAGCCAAGUUUUCCCUGGAUUUAUUGGUUUGUUUUGUACUGAGCACUUCCAAUGAUGGCCUGCCUUGUAGUCUUGGUGGGGGAUCCUGGCACACUUUGUCCUCUCCAGAACUCAUACAGUGCCCCCAGCCUCACAUGUAUUCAUAUACUCAUAGGUCUUAGCUGCCAUUUGACAAAAGAUUGGAGUUGCUAGUUGGAGAGGAGGCAGCUGUAUUCAAACUGCCAUCUUCUUGGUGUUCUGGUCCUCAACUACUUAGUAAGCCCUUAGAAGGCAUCAGUACCUCUUGACUUCCAUGUCUAAGUCUGUGACCUACACAUCAUUAUUAUAAUGAAGGUGGAGAAGGAGAAAGAAGAGGAGGAAGAAAAAGAGGGGGAGGAGAAUAAGAGAAUGAAGAGGAAGAAAAGGAAGGAAAGCAGGGCACCUGGGUGACUCAGUAGUUGAGCACCUUCCUUUGGCUCAGGUCAUUAUCCUGGGUCCUGGUAUCGAGUCCUGCAUCAGACUCCCGCAGGGAGCCUGCUCCUCCCUCUGCCUAUGUCUCUGCCUCUCUCUCCGUGUCUCUCAUGGAUAAAUAAAAAAAUAAAAUCUUUUUUUUCAAAAAGAAAAGAAAGGAAAGGAAAGCAAGACACCAGUGCCAAAAAGCUUUAGUGAUUCGGCUAUCUCUUGAAGGCUGGUUCUUGGUACCAAGGGAUUUCCUUAAAUCAGUGUCUGCAUAUAACGACCUUUUUACUUUCCUAACUGCCUAAUUUUAUAAGGUGUGCACCCGUGGGCCCAUAUUUCUGGAUGUUAGUAUACCAAUGAUUGCCUAACCUUGCCCUUUAUGCAUGGUUGCAUAAAGAAAAGAGAUUAAAUGCUAGCUAUCUGGGGCUAAAGGGCACACACAGAAUAAUGACCCUCAUCUAGGUAAUAAGCAGAUCCCUUCAAACCCUGAUUUGCUUUAUGUCAGAUCUAUUUCUUGGCCUUUGUCGUAAAGAUGGCUUUGGUGUUGCAUCUCCCAAAGGAGAAAAAAACCUCCAAUGCUAUCACACAGUAAGCCCAGCAACUGCCUGCAGGAUCCCUGGCAGGUCAUUCAUUCCUCUCUGAGCCACACAGUCAGGUGAAAGUGACAGGCACAUUUUGGUCUCUGUGUCCAGUGAUUAAACUUCC